AUGGUUAUUUGUUCCUAUUUUCAAUUUGAGUGUUGUUGCUGUUAUUUUUUAUUGUUAGAGUCGUAUGAACCGAAAACCCCAUGGCUUUUCGGUGCUUGUUCAUCGAUUGAGAAAGAGAAUCAAGGUGUUAUUGUUAUUGUUCGAAAAUUUGAGAGAAUGAGGAAUCGUUUGUUGUUGUUCAGUGAGAAAGAUGAUGGUGAUGGAUCGUGA